UUUUAAGCAAAGAUCAAUACAAAAACAUUCCAGUUUGACUGAAAGGGGCGGCAGUUUCCGUUUAGGUAAAAUGGAUAGAAUAAUAGUACUUACCUCAAAGGAUUGUUGAAGAGAAUCAACAAGAUGAUAUCCCUGAAGCACUGGGAAUAGUGUCUGGCACACAGCACUCUCCCAGGAGCACACCGCGGCGCUAGAGAAGACCAGGAAAAAGGACCUGAGCCAGCUUGCCGUCUUAACAAAAAUUUCAAACUUUGCAAAGCGGUAUACCUUCUUAUUCUCCAGUUCAGUAUUGCCAGUGAAGUCAUACUGAACGCAGACAAGGAAAAGAAAGAAAAAGAAACUCAAUGAGAUAUGUUGUCAUCUUCCCUGUUUUAUGGAUGAAGUUCUAAGUAGAGGUUCGGAGAAGGUCUUCCAAAUUAUGAAAAUUGGCAAUUGGGCGAUGUUCACAGUGUCCCGUCUACUGCCUGGGGCCCCUGUCAUGCAGCAGCUGCAGAUACCACGUCCUUGGGUUGGAGCCCCUUCUCUACUCACGUUGGACAUAGAAUCACUUUUCCAAUCAGGUGAAGAAUGAAGGAUGCCCUGGAAUGAAUUUGUGAAGGGGUGUGUGUGUGUGUGUGUGUGUGUGUGUGUGUGUGUGUGAGAGAGAGAGAGAGGAGACAGAGAGAGAGAAAGUGUGUAUGUGCAUGGUGGGGAGUUCCAGGUAGACAGAACUGUGAAUGUAAAGCCUCUAUUUUUGAGUCCACAGAAAGCAUCUAUUUCAUGAGUAUUAUUCUACAUAAUACAUUGAACACAUUGUGUUAACUCAUUAAGGCAAAGUAAAAUUGCAAAUUUUGUUCUUUAAAAAAAUUAUGAACUAAUAAACUUCGUUAAAAUCUUUUCUCUGCACCUAUCAGAAUUUGUAGGAGGCAAGUGCACGCAGUCAC
rnacentral:lncRNA from 1 species